rnacentral:rRNA from 1 species
UACGAAGGGGGCUAGCGUUGCUCGGAAUCACUGGGCAUAAAGGGCGCGUAGGCGGAUGGUCAAGUCGGGGGUGAAAUCUUUCAGCUUAACUGGAAAAGUGCCUCCGAUACUGAUCGUCUCGAGGGAGGUAGGGGCAUGUGGAACUUCCGGUGGAGCGGUGAAAUGCGUAGAUAUCGGAAGGAACGCCGGUGGCGAAAGCGACGUGCUGGACCUCUUCUGACGCUGAGGCGCGAAAGCUAGGGGAGCAAACGGG